rnacentral:rRNA from 2 species
GACGAACCGUGCGAACGUUGUUCGGAAUCACUGGGCUUAAAGGGCGCGUAGGCGGCUUGCCAAGUCGGGGGUGAAAUACUUCAGCUUAACUGGAGAAGUGCCUUCGAUACUGGCAGGCUUGAGGGAGGUAGGGGUCUGCGGAACUUCUGGUGGAGCGGUGAAAUGCGUUGAUAUCAGAAGGAACGCCGGUGGCGAAAGCGGCGGACUGGACCUCUUCUGACGCUGAGGCGCGAAAGCUAGGGGAGCAAACGGG